rnacentral:rRNA from 1 species
AUGGACGAAAGUCUGACGGAGCAACGCCGCGUGUACGACGAAGGCCUUCGGGUUGUAAAGUACUGUCUUCAGGGACGAACGGUACCUAUGUGAAUAAUGUGGGUACAUGACGGUACCUGAGGAGGAAGCCCCGGCUAACUACGUGCCAGCAGCCGCGGUAAUACGUAGGGGGCAAGCGUUGUCCGGAAUCAUUGGGCGUAAAGGGCGCGUAGGCGGAUAUUUAAGUCUGGUGUGAAAACCUAGGGCUCAACCCUGGGAGUGCAUCGGAAACUGGCUAUCUUGAGGACAGGAGAGGAAAGUGGAAUUCCACGUGUAGCGGUGAAAUGCGUAGAUAUGUGGAGGAACACCAGUGGCGAAGGCGACUUUCUGGACUGUAACUGACGCUGAGGCGCGAAAGCGUGGGGAGCAAACAGGAUUAGAUACCCUGGUAGUCCACGCCGUAAACGAUGAGUGCUAGGUGUAGAGGGUAUCGACCCCCUCUGUGCCGCAGUUAACACAAUAAGCACUCCGCCUGGGGAGUAC